GUCCACGCCGUAAACGAUGAAUACUAGGUGUGGGGGUUGUCAUGACCUCCGUGCCGCCGCUAACGCAUUAAGUAUUCCGCCUGGGGAGUACGGUCGCAAGAUUAAAAACUCAAAGGAAUUGACGGGGGCCCGCACAAGCAGCGGAGCAUGUGGUUUAAUUCGAAGCAACGCGAAGAACCUUACCUAGACUUGACAUCUCCUGAAUUACUCUUAAUCGAGGAAGUCACUUCGGUGACAGGAAGACAGGUGGUGCAUGGUUGUCGU
rnacentral:rRNA from 1 species